UACAGAGGGGGCAAGCGUUAUUCGGAAUUAUUGGGCGUAAAGGGCGCGUAGGCGGCAUUGCAAGUGGAAGGUGAAAUCCCUCGGCUUAACCGAGGAACUGCCCUCCAAACUGCGUUGCUUGAGGCCGGGAGAGGUGAGUGGAAUUCCCAGUGUAGCGGUGAAAUGCGUAGAGAUCCGGAGGAACCCCAGAGGCGAAGGCGGCAUCCUGGCCCACGACUGACACUCAGACACGACAGCAUGGGGAGCGAACGGG
rnacentral:rRNA from 1 species